rnacentral:rRNA from 1 species
UACGUAGGGUGCGAGCGUUAAUCGGAAUUACUGGGCGUAAAGCGUGCGUAGGCGGUUCGUUAAGUUCGUUGUGAAAGCCCCGGGCUCAACCUGGGAAUGGCAAUGGAAACUGGCGGGCUGGAGUAUGGCAGAGGGGGGUGGAAUUCCGCGUGUAGCAGUGAAAUGCGUAGAGAUGCGGAGGAACACCGAUGGCGAAGGCAGCCCCCUGGGCCAAUACUGACGCUCAGGCACGAAAGCGUGGGGAGCGAACAGG